GCGACUAUGGUGAAGUCGGCUAACACACCUGACUGUGACUCAGGCAUUCGCGGGUUCAAGUCCCGUUGGUCGCC
rnacentral:tRNA from 2 species